UUUUCCUCAGGAUAGCUGGCGCCAGCAGGAGAACAACACGCAAUUCCCUCCAGUAAAGUGAACGACUGGAGGCCCCGGGGAAAUUGAUGGCCUCGGUCUACUCUCAAACUCAGAAUGGGCGAAACGGGCCGCUCCUCUCCCGAUCGGAGGUGGCCAUAUAUCGCAGCCAUUGCAAUGCAAUGAAUGCAUGGUGCCAGGUGGGCCAUUUUUGGUAAGGAAGACAGAGGACAACAU
rnacentral:rRNA from 1 species